rnacentral:rRNA from 1 species
UACGGAGGGUGCGAGCGUUGUCCGGAAUCACUGGGCGUAAAGGGCGCGUAGGUGGCGCGGUAAGCGUGUGGUGAAAGCUCGGGGCUCAACCCCGAGUCGGCCAUGCGAACUGCCGGGCUGAGCACUGUAGAGGCAGGUGGAAUUCCGGGUGUAGCGGUGGAAUGCGUAGAGAUCCGGAAGAACACCGGUGGCGAAGGCGGCCUGCUGGGCAGUCGCUGACACUGAGGCGCGACAGCGUGGGGAGCAAACAGG